CCUACGGGAGGCAGCAGUGAGGAAUAUUGGUCAAUGGACGAGAGUCUGAACCAGCCAAGUAGCGUGAAGGAUGACUGCCCUAUGGGUUGUAAACUUCUUUUAUAAAGGAAUAAAACGAGGCACGUGUGCCUUUUUGCAUGUACUUUAUGAAUAAGGAUCGGCUAACUCCGUGCCAGCAGCCGCGGUAAUACGGAGGAUCCGAGCGUUAUCCGGAUUUAUUGGGUUUAAAGGGAGCGUAGAUGGGUUGUUAAGUCAGUUGUGAAAGUUUGCGGCUCAACCGUAAAAUUGCAAUUGAUACUGGCGGUCUUGAGUGCAGUUGAGGUAGGCGGAAUGCGUGGUGUAGCGGUGAAAUGCUUAGAGAUCACGAAGAACCCCGAUUGCGAAGGCAGCUUACUAAACUGUGACUGACAUUGAUGCUCGAAAGUGUGGGUAUCAAACAGGAUUAGAUACCCUUGUAGUC
rnacentral:rRNA from 1 species